CCGAGCCUUUUCCUAUUUUAACCCCUUGCAUUUUUUAAAUUCCACCCUCACCCUUAAUUUCUUUUACAAACUCUAAUAUUAUUUAUUCAUUCUUCAAGACGCAUCAAAGUUGCAGAACCCUCUCCAUUAAGAAAACUCUCUCAGGAGGUAACUAAGGCAGCAAAAUUCCGCAUUCGAGGACUAGAAUUUGCUGAAAAAUUAGUCGACUAUUCAUGAAUGUAGCUGCAACAGGGGAUGCUGCAUGGUCGCCAUCUAUUUGAGUGCUACCAUCACAAAAUAAUCAAGCGGAGAAUUGCAUCAAUUUAGAUGAAGACAACAAUGACUUGGAAGAGCAAGAGAUGAAUGAGCUUGAUUCUCAAGUUGAUGAGACUGGAGUUAGAAAGAGAUCUGCCAAUUCACAACCUCGAGUGGCGAAAGAAGGUAAAUUGCAAGGGAAGGAAGGGGAUCAAAAAGUUUCUAGUGCAAAAACAAAUGUCCCAUUCGAUAAAUUCUCUGGUAGAAACUCAGAAAGAAGAACAUCUAAAUUGAUCAGAACAGAUUCCCCAGGUUGUGGUUAUGCUGAAAUGGUCGAACAGUUGGAUACAUUACUUGAGAUUGUACCUGGUAGUGAUCUAUAUUAUUUUAUUCUUGAGCUUUUGAAAGAUAAAAAUGAGAGGGAGUACUUUGGAGCAAUGAAGAUACCUGCUGUGAAAGUUGGUUGGCUUCAAAGGCAACAAUUGAAGAAAGUGGAUAGCUCUUUUUUGUCUAUGAUGUCUAAUUUAGAUUCGUGAUUUGUUCUAGGCUGUUCUCAAUAACUUCGAUUUUUUCUUUGUUGAACAUAUGAUUAUUUAUUUGACUAAUAAUGCCAGACAUGCUCAGGAUCAGUAAACUUUUCAAUUUUCAUAUUAAA